AGUGAACGCUGGCGGUAGGCCUAACACAUGCAAGUCGAACGGCAGCACAGUAAGAGCUUGCUCUUACGGGUGGCGAGUGGCGGACGGGUGAGGGAUACAUCGGAAUCUACUUUUUCGUGGGGGAUACAGUAGGGAAACUUACGCUAAUACCGCAUACGAACUACGGGUGAAAGCAGGGGAGCUUCGGACCUUGCGCGAUUGAAUGUGCGCAUGUCGGAUUGGCUAGUUGGCGGGGUAAAGGCCCCCCAAGGCGACGAUCCGUAGCUGGUCUGAGAGGAUGAUCAGCCACACUGGAACUGAGACACGGUCCAGACUCCUACGGGAGGCAGCAGUGGGGAAUAUUGGACAAUGGGCGCAAGCCUGAUCCAGCCAUACCGCGUGGGUGAAGAAGGCCUUCGGGUUGUAAAGCCCUUUUGUUGGGAAAGAAAAGCAGCAGGUUAAUACCCCGCUGUUCUGACGGUACCCAAAGAAUAAGCACCGGCUAACUUCGUG
rnacentral:rRNA from 1 species